UGGGGAAUUUUGCACAAUGGGGGAAACCCUGAUGCAGCGACGCCGCGUGAUUUAGAAGGCCUUCGGGUUGUAAAAAUCUUUUGUAUGGGAAGAAAAUGACAGUACCAUACGAAUAAGGACCGGCUAAUUACGUGCCAGCAGCCGCGGUAAUACGUAAGGUCCGAGCGUUGUCCGGAAUCAUUGGGCGUAAAGGGUGCGUAGGUGGUCUUUCAAGUCGGUGGUUAAAGGCUACGGCUCAACCGUAGUUAGCCUCCGAAACUGGAAGACUUGAGUGCAGGAGAGGAAAGUGGAAUUCCCAGUGUAGCGGUGAAAUGCGUAGAUAUUGGGAGGAACACCAGUAGCGAAGGCGGCUUUCUGGACUGCAACUGACACUGAGGCACGAAAGCGUGGGUAGCAAACAGG
rnacentral:rRNA from 1 species